rnacentral:rRNA from 1 species
CCUACGGGAGGCAGCAGUGGGGAAUAUUGCACAAUGGGGGAAACCCUGAUGCAGCGACGCCGCGUGAGUGAUGAAGUACCUCGGUAUGUAAAGCUCUUUCAGCAGGGAAGAAAAUGACGGUACCUGUUUAAGAAGCCCCGGCAAAAUACGUGCCAGCAGCCGCGGUAAUACGUAGGGGGCACGCGUUAUCCGGAUUUACUGGGUGUAAAGGGGGCGUAGAUGGGAGCACAAGUCUGGAGUGAAAUGCCGGGGCUUAACCCCGGAACUGCUUUGGAAACUGAGCAGCUAGAGUGCAGGAGAGGUAAGUGGAAUGCCUGGUGUAGCGGUGAAAUGCGUAGAUAUUAGGCGGAACGCCGGUGGCGAAGGCAGCUUACUGGACUGUAACUGACGUUGAGGCACGAAAGCGUGGGGAGCAAACAGGAUUAGAUACCCUUGUAGUC